CUUGCAAGCCAUCUGAGGGCACAGAAAAUGCUAUAUCCCAAAAGUUCACCUGGAUCCUUAAAAUGGUGAGUCUGUUUGUUCCCAAGGUGUUCUGACCAGGAGGAGGAGCAUUUGCGCAGGCAAGGAAGACACAAGACAGAUGUUUGGCAAGGAGGAUUCAUAGGCAUACCCUCACAUUGGAUUGAUUUCUUCCCUGCCCCUCUGUUUGAGUCUUGCAGAAAUCAACAAAUUUGGUGCCAUGCUUAUAAUUUGAAAUGUUUGCUAUGGGCUUGGAAGAGCCUACAAACACUGAGGGAGUAGCAAUCACCUGGAACACACAAGCACUGAAAUUAAACCAUGAACGUCAGAGUGGGAGAUGGGAUGUCUCUGUCUUUCCCUUGGUGCCAG
ensembl:lncRNA